rnacentral:rRNA from 1 species
GACGAACGCUGGCGGCGUGCUUAACACAUGCAAGUCGAACGGAAAGGCCCUGCUUUUGUGGGGUGCUCGAGUGGCGAACGGGCGAGUAACACGUGAGUAACCUGCCCUUGACUUUGGGAUAACUUCAGGAAACUGGGGCUAAUACCGGAUAGGAGCUCCUGCUGCAUGGUGGGGGUUGGAAAGUUUCGGCGGUUGGGGAUGGACUCGCGGCUUAUCAGCUUGUUGGCGGGGUAGUGGCUUACCAAGGCUUUGACGGGUAGCCGGCCUGAGAGGGUGACCGGCCACAUUGGGACUGAGAUACGGCCCAGACUCCUACGGGAGGCAGCAGUGGGGAAUAUUGCACAAUGGGCGGAAGCCUGAUGCAGCAACGCCGCGUGCGGGAUGACGGCCUUCGGGUUGUAAACCGCUUUCGCCUGUGACGAAGCGUGAGUGACGGUAAUGGGUAAAGAAGCACCGGCUAACUACGUG